rnacentral:rRNA from 1 species
GACAGAGGGUGCAAACGUUGUUCGGAAUUACUGGGCGUAAAGCGCGUGUAGGCUGCUUCGCAAGUCGGAUGUGAAAGCCCUGGGCUCAACCCAGGAAGUGCAUUCGAAACUGCAGAGCUGGAGUCCUGGAGAGGAAGGCGGAAUUCUCGGUGUAGAGGUGAAAUUCGUAGAUAUCGAGAGGAACACCGGUGGCGAAGGUGGCCUUUUGGACAGUGAUUGACGCUGAGACGCGAAAGCGUGGGGAGCAAACAGG